AGAACGAACGCUGGCGGCAUGCCUAACACAUGCAAGUCGAACGAGACCUUCGGGUCUAGUGGCGCACGGGUGCGUAACGCGUGGGAAUCUGCCCUUGGGUUCGGGAUAACAGUUGGAAACGACUGCUAAUACCGGAUGAUGACUUCGGUCCAAAGAUUUAUCGCCCAGGGAUGAGCCCGCGUAGGAUUAGCUAGUUGGUGAGGUAAAGGCUCACCAAGGCGACGAUCCUUAGCUGGUCUGAGAGGAUGAUCAGCCACACGUGGGACUGAGACACGGCCAGACCUCCGUACGGG
rnacentral:rRNA from 1 species